rnacentral:lncRNA from 1 species
CUCACACAGAAUGACACUAGAAGGGAGGAAUGACCUCCCCUACGUGACCUCACAGGUGGCCAACAUCAGCGAGAAAUAUGAAACGAUGGACGUGAGAACCUACAGGGAGCACAGGUGAAACACUGCAGGUUCACAGAAACGUGUGACGUUGAAAGAGACCGAGUUCCCACAAGGGCACAUCCAACUGUCUAGCUACCUAUCAGCCAAGGCCAGUGCUUGGAGAAAUCGGGGAGCAGAUGUUUUUCUUCAGGACCGUGCCACCUGCAAAUAUUUCCUCCUUCAUCAAUUUCAGAUGCAAUCCAGAGAUAAAAGAGGAAUUCGCUUAAGGCAGAGUUGGGAAAAACCCAGAACUUCAGACUCAGUCUGGUGGUAUUCGCUCAACACUAUGCUUCUGCCCACAGAUGAAGAAAUGAAGGUUCAGGAAAACAAACUGCUGUGCCCCUUGUAGGACUAUGUCUUUAGUGUGUGUGUGUCUGUGUGUGUGUGUGUAUAAAGGGGAGGGUGGAAGAAAGUGGCUACAACAAAA